CUGAGUACGGCGGAACACGUGAAAUUCCGUCGGAAUCCGGGAGGACCAUCUCCCAAGGCUAAAUACUCCCUAGUGACCGAUAGUGAACCAGUACCGUGAGGGAAAGGUGAAAAGCACCCCGGAAGGGGAGUGAAACAGUUCCUGAAACCGUGUGCCUACAAGUAGUUAGAGCCCGUUAAUGGGUGAUAGCGUGCCUUUUGUAGAAUGAACCGGCGAGUUACGAUUUGUUGCAAGGUUAAGCGGAAAAAGCGGAGCCGUAGCGAAAGCGAGUCUGAAUAGGGCGCAUAAGUAACAGGUCGUAGACCCGAAACCAGGUGAUCUACCCAUGUCCAGGAUGAAGGUAAGGUAAUACUUACUGGAGGUCCGAACCCACGCACGUUGAAAAGUGCGGGGAUGAGGUGUGGGUAGCGGAGAAAUUCCAAUCGAACUUGGAGAUAGCUGGUUCUCUCCGAAAUAGCUUUAGGGCUAGCCUCGAGGUAAAGAGUCAUGGAGGUAGAGCACUGUUUGGACUAGGGGCCCUUCUCGGGUUACCGAAUUCAGAUAAACUCCGAAUGCCAUGUACUUAUACUCGGGAGUCAGACUGCGAGUGAUAAGAUCCGUAGUCGAAAGGGAAACAGCCCAGACCACCAGUUAAGGUCCCCAAAUAUAUGUUAAGUGGAAAAGGAUGUGGGGUUGCUUAGACAACCAGGAUGUUGGCUUAGAAGCAGCCACCAUUGAAAGAGUGCGUAAUAGCUCACUGGUCGAGUGACCCCGCGCCGAAAAUGUACCGGGGCUAAACAUAUUACCGAAACUGUGGAUGAACCUCUUUAGAGGUUCGUGGUAGGAGAGCGUUCUAAGGGCGGUGAAGUCAGACCGGAAGGACUGGUGGAGCGCUUAGAAGUGAGAAUGCCGGUAUGAGUAGCGAAAGAAGGGUGAGAAUCCCUUCCACCGAAUAUCUAAGGUUUCCUGAGGAAGGCUCGUCCGCUCAGGGUUAGUCGGGACCUAAGCCGAGGCCGAUAGGCGUAGGCGAUGGACAACAGGUAGAGAUUCCUGUACCAGUGCUAAUUGUUUAACCGAUGGGGUGACACAGAAGGAUAGGGAAUCGCACGAAUGGAAAUGUGCGUCCAAGCAGUGAGUGUGAGAAGUAGGCAAAUCCGCUUCUCGCGAAGCAUGAGCUGUGAUGGGGAAGGAAAUUAAGUACGGAAGUUCCUGAUUUCACGCUGUCAAGAAAAGCCUCUAGGAAGAGUAGUACUGCCCGUACCGCAAACCGACACAGGUAGAUGAGGAGAGAAUCCUAAGGUGAGCGAGAGAACUCUCGUUAAGGAACUCGGCAAAAUGACCCCGUAACUUCGGGAGAAGGGGUGCUCUAUUAGGGUGCAAGCCCGAGAGAGCCGCAGUGAAUAGGCCCAGGCGACUGUUUAGCAAAAACACAGGUCUCUGCAAAACCGUAAGGUGACGUAUAGGGGCUGACGCCUGCCCGGUGCUGGAAGGUUAAGAGGAGUGCUUAGCUUCGGCGAAGGUACGAAUUGAAGCCCCAGUAAACGGCGGCCGUAACUAUAACGGUCCUAAGGUAGCGAAAUUCCUUGUCGGGUAAGUUCCGACCCGCACGAAAGGCGCAACGAUCUGGGCACUGUCUCAACGAGAGACUCGGUGAAAUUAUAGUACCUGUGAAGAUGCAGGUUACCCGCGACAGGACGGAAAGACCCCGUGGAGCUUUACUGCAACCUGAUAUGGAAUGUUUGUACCGCUUGUACAG
rnacentral:rRNA from 1 species